UCUGGCGGGAGCGGAGCAGUCUUUCUUCGCAAAAAGUUGUCUGUUUUCACCUGUCUGGAGGCUGCCUGAAGACAGGAUGCACGGUACUUCGCUUUGUAAGGACUAAAUUGGAACUCUCUCAGGAAGGAAGAGGCACAACGCUGAGAGCAGUCCUCAAAAACACUGACAGACAAAAAAAAAACCGUCUCUGCCACAAGGGGUAAACGAUUCCAGCUGAAGCAAACAGUAAACAUGACGAAGCCGGGGAGGAAAAGCUGAGCAAAGACACUCUUCAGGAGAAGUAGGACAUCGAAAAGCUCCAGCAUCUCCUGGAGAAGGCGACCGUGUAGCCGGGAGUUUAAAAGCCAUGCACAUGCCCAGGGCAGGGCGCAUGCUCAGAAACGACCUGAGCCCACCUCAGUGCUCUUCGCCUGGGCUGAUCUUGAGCGCUGCCGUGGAGUGGCCAGCUGCCUAGCUAAGGGUCAGAAGAGCAACCCAACACAGGGCCAAUCUGCAAAGCCAGGAAGGUGGCUUACAACAGAAGAAAAUCAGAAGUCUUUGCAACGGAGGCUGAUGCAUUUUUAGAAGCCAGAAGAGAGAAGACUUACUAGAUGGUUUUCAUUUUUGAUCAUUGAUCCUGACAUAAUAGAAUGUGACCUACGUAGAGAAGACAAAAGGCAGAAAUACAACACAACCAAAGAAUACACGCUGGAAAAGGAAUCACUGAAGAAAAACGGAUAGGAAGCAUAUCUCAUGUUUUUGUGUGUGCAGGCAUACCUCGGAGAUGUUGUGGGUUUGGUACCUGACUGCUGUAAUAAAGCUAAUAUCACAA